rnacentral:rRNA from 1 species
GACAGCAGCCGCCGCGGUAAUACGUAUGUCACGAGCGUUAUCCGGAUUUAUUGGGCGUAAAGCGCGUCUAGGUGGUUAUGUAAGUCUGAUGUGAAAAUGCAGGGCUCAACUCUGUAUUGCGUUGGAAACUGUAUAACUAGAGUACUGGAGAGGUAAGCGGAACUACAAGUGUAGAGGUGAAAUUCGUAGAUAUUUGUAGGAAUGCCGAUGGGGAAGCCAGCUUACUGGACAGAUACUGACGCUGAAGCGCGAAAGCGUGGGUAGCAAACAGGAUUAGAUACCCGCGUAGUCCCUGUCUCUUAUACA